rnacentral:rRNA from 1 species
UGUGUAGGCGGUUCUUUAAGUUUGGUGUGAAAUCUCCCGGCUCAACCGGGAGGGUGCGCCGAAAACUGGGGGACUGGAGUGCGGGAUGGGAGAGUAGAAUUCCUGGUGUAGCGGUGAAAUGCGUAGAUAUCAGGAGGAAUACCGGUGGUGUAGACGGCUCUCUGGACCGCCACUGACGCUGAGACACGAAAGCGUGGGUAGCAAACA